rnacentral:ribozyme from 1 species
ACUGUCGGCGAGGUCCUCCCCUCGGAGCGCGGCU